rnacentral:rRNA from 1 species
GACGUAGGGCGCGAGCGUUGUCCGGAUUUAUUGGGCGUAAAGAGCUCGUAGGCGGCUCAUUGCGUCAACCGUGAAAACCAGCAGCUCAACUGUUGGCUUGCGGUUGAUACGGGUGGGCUGGAGUUCGGUAGGGGAGACUGGAAUUCCUGGUGUAGCGGUGAAAUGCGCAGAUAUCGGGAGGAACACCAGCGGCGAAGGCGGCACUCUGGGCUGGUACUGACGCUGAGGAGCGAAGGCGUGGGUAGCAAACAGG